UACGUAGGGUGCGAGCGUUAAUCGGAAUUACUGGGCGUAAAGCGUGCGCAGGCGGCGCGUUAAGACAGAUGUGAAAUCCCCGGGCUUAACCUGGGAACUGCAUUUGUGACUGCAUGGCUAGAGUGCGGCAGAGGGGGAUGGAAUUCCGCGUGUAGCAGUGAAAUGCGUAGAUAUGCGGAGGAACACCGAUGGCGAAGGCAAUCCCCUGGGCCUGCACUGACGCUCAUGCACGAAAGCGUGGGGAGCAAACAGG
rnacentral:rRNA from 1 species